GACGAACGCUGGCGGCGUGCUUAACACAUGCAAGUCGAACGGUGAACCAGAGCUUGCUCUGGGGAUCAGUGGCGAACGGGUGAGUAACACGUGGGCAACCUGCCCCAGACUCUGGGAUAACCUCGGGAAACCGAUGCUAAUACCGGAUACGACCACUUCGGACAUCCGACGGUGGUGGAAAGUUUUUCGGUCUGGGAUGGGCCCGCGGCCUAUCAGCUAGUUGGUGGGGUAAUGGCCUACCAAGGCGACGACGGGUAGCCGGCCUGAGAGGGCGACCGGCCACACUGGAACUGAGACACGGUCCAGACUCCUACGGGAGGCAGCAGUGGGGAAUAUUGCACAAUGGGCGAAAGCCUGAUGCAGCGACGCCGCGUGAGGGACGACGGCCUUCGGGUUGUAAACCUCUUUCAGCAGGGACGAAGCGAAAGUGACUGUACCUGCAGAAGAAGCACCGGCUAACUACGUG
rnacentral:rRNA from 2 species